rnacentral:rRNA from 1 species
UAAGGAAUAUUGGUCAAUGGACGCAAGUCUGAACCAGCCAUGCCGCGUGAAGGAUGAAGGUCCUCUGGAUUGUAAACUUCUUUUAUGUGGGAAGAAACCUGAAAAUUCUUUUUCAGUUGACGGUACCAUAAGAAUAAGCACCGGCUAACUCCGUGCCAGCAGCCGCGGUAAUACGGAGGGUGCAAGCGUUAUCCGGAUUCACUGGGUUUAAAGGGUGCGUAGGUGGGUAGGUAAGUCCGUGGUGAAAUCUCCAAGCUUAACUUGGAAACUGCCGUGGAUACUAUCUAUCUUGAAUACCGUGGAGGUGAGCGGAAUAUGUCAUGUAGCGGUGAAAUGCUUAGAUAUGACAUAGAACACCAAUUGCGAAGGCAGCUCACUACACGCCUAUUGACACUGAGGCACGAAAGCGUGGGGAUCAAACAG